rnacentral:rRNA from 1 species
UACGGAGGGUGCAAGCGUUAAUCGGAAUUACUGGGCGUAAAGCGCACGUAGGCGGCCAACUAAGUCAGACGUGAAAUCCCUCGGCUUAACCGGGGAACUGCGUCUGAUACUGGAUGGCUCGAGUUUGGGAGAGGGAUGCGGAAUUCCAGGUGUAGCGGUGAAAUGCGUAGAUAUCUGGAGGAACACCGGUGGCGAAGGCGGCAUCCUGGACCAACACUGACGCUGAUGAGCGAAAGCCAGGGGAGCAAACGGG